GAUGAACGCUGGCGGCGUGCCUAAUACAUGCAAGUCGAGCGAACAGACGAGGAGCUUGCUCCUCUGACGUUAGCGGCGGACGGGUGAGUAACACGUGGAUAACCUACCUAUAAGACUUGGAUAACUUCGGGAAACCGGAGCUAAUACCGGAUAAUAUAUUGAACCGCAUGGUUCAAUAGUGAAAGACGGUUUUGCUGUCACUUAUAGAUGGAUCCGCGCCGCAUUAGCUAGUUGGUAAGGUAACGGCUUACCAAGGCAACGAUGCGUAGCCGACCUGAGAGGGUGAUCGGCCACACUGGAACUGAGACGCGGUCCAGACUCCUACGGGAGGCAGCAGUAGGGAAUCUUCCGCAAUGGGCGAAAGCCUGACGGAGCAACGCCGCGUGAGUGAUGAAGGUCUUCGGAUCGUAAAACUCUGUUAUUAGGGAAGAACAAAUGUGUAAGUAACUAUGCACGUCUUGACGGUACCUAAUCAGAAAGCCACGGCUAACUACGUG
rnacentral:rRNA from 1 species